UGCAACUCGCCUACACGAAGUUGGAAUUGCUAGUAAUCGUGGAUCAGCAUGCCACGGUGAAUACGUUCCCGGGUCUUGUACACACCGCCCGUCACACCAUGGGAGCUGGUAACACCCGAAGUCAGUAGUCUAACCGCAAGGAGGACGCUGCCGAAGGUGGGAUUAGCGACUGGGGUGAAGUCGUAACAAGGUAAC
rnacentral:rRNA from 1 species